rnacentral:rRNA from 1 species
AUUGAACGCUGGCGGCAGGCCUAACACAUGCAAGUCGAGCGGAUGAGUGGAGCUUGCUCCAUGAUUCAGCGGCGGACGGGUGAGUAAUGCCUAGGAAUCUGCCUGGUAGUGGGGGACAACGUUUCGAAAGGAACGCUAAUACCGCAUACGUCCUACGGGAGAAAGUGGGGGAUCUUCGGGCCUCACGCUAUCAGAUGAGCCUAGGUCGGAUUAGCUAGUUGGUGAGGUAAAGGCUAACCAAGGCGAUGAUCCGUAACUGGUCUGAGAGGAAGAUCAGUCACACUGGAACUGAGACCCGGCCCAGACUCCUACGAGAGGCAGCAGUGGGGAAUAUUGGACAAUGGGCGAAAGACUGAUCCAGCCAUGCCGCGUGUGUGAAGAAGGUCUUCGGAUUGUAAAGCACUUUAAGUUGGGAGGAAGUGCAGUAAGUUAAUACCUUGCUGUUUUGACGUUACCAACAGAAUAAGCACCGGCUAACUUCGUGCCAGCCGCCGCAGUAAGAC